rnacentral:rRNA from 1 species
CAGCUAGUUGGUGGGGUAAGAGCCUACCAAGGCGACGAUCGGUAGCUGGUCUGAGAGGACGAUCAGCCACACUGGGAUUGAGAACGGCCCAGACUCCUACGGGGGGCAGCAGUGAGGAAUUUUCGGCAAUGGGGGCAACCCUGACCGAGCAACGCCGCGUGCAGGAAGAAGGUUUUCGGAUCGUAAACUGCUUUUCUGUGGGAAGAGAACGGACGGUACCACAGGAAGAAGCCCCGGCUAACUACGUGCCAGCAGCCGCGGUAAUACGUAGGGGGCGAGCGUUAUCCGGAGUUACUGGGCGUAAAGCGCACGCAGGCGGUGCUGCAAGUUUGGGGUUACAGCUCCCGGCUCAACUGGGAGAGCGCCUUGAAGACUGCAGGACUUGAGGGCCAAAGAGGGACACAGAAUUCCGGGUGUAGUGGUGAAAUGCGUAGAUAUCCGGAGGAAUACCAAAGGCGAAGGCAGUGUCCUGGGUGGUACCUGACGCUCAGGUGCGAAAGCUAGGGGAGCGAACGGGAUUAGAUACCCCGGUAGUCCUA